rnacentral:rRNA from 1 species
UACGUAGGAGGCAAGCGUUAUCCGGAAUUACUGGGCGUAAAGGGCGUCUAGGUGGCAGCCCAAGCGGGGUGUGAAAGCUCCUGGCUUAACUGGGAGAGUGCGCUCCGAACUGGGCAGCUAGAGGGCAGGCGACGGAGGUGGAAUACCCGGUGGAGUGGUGAAAUGCGUAGAGAUCGGGUGGAACACCAGUGGCGAAGGCGGCCUCGAGCCUGAUGCCUGACACUGAAGCGCGAGAGCGUGGGGAGCAAACGGG